UCCACAAGAUAUUAUUGUUGACAAGAUACAAGUGAAGACAUCACCUGCAACAGGUAUUGAGAAAAGCACUCUGCAUCUUGGCCCAGACGCUGUACAAGGGAAGUGGACUAUUGUAGCUCGAUAUGGCUAUAACUCUGAGUCGAAAUCACUGUCUCGAUUUGAAGUGAAGGAUUAUGUGUUACCACCAUUCGAUGUCAAGAUUACUCCUCCCAAAUAUGUCAGAGUCAAAAGUUUGCAAGAUUUUAUCUCUUUUCA